GAUCUGUGGGCCUUCCUCUCUGCUCACUUUUCCUCCUCCCACUCUUCUCCCCUCCCCAGGCCUGUUAUUUCUACUUUUCCUCAUCUCGCCUUCUUUCCUCCUCCCCUCUUCCCCCCUUCUCCCUCCUCUCUCUCCCCACCCCUCUUCUCCCUCUAUUCCUCUCCCUCGCUCCAUUCCUCCACCUACUCCUCCCCAUUUCUCCCCCCCACAGCCCCCCUUCUCAGCACCACUUAUAAUGGCACACAAGGGCUCCCUCUGAGGUGGACGGCCCGGAGGGACCAUCUUUGCAAAAAGGCUGUACUCAAAACAUGUUUGUUAAUGAUCUUGGGAUCCAAGAUUUGCGAAGGUAAGACAACAUCUGAUUCAGUAGCUUGGGAGAGAGAUCUCUAUUUGAAUCAGUGGCUCCUGGGAGCUGUGCCGAGUCUAAGUCCGGAUUACUCUGAGUAUUCUGGCCGUCGUUUCCUGCCCAUCUCCCUUCGUUCUUGGCUUCAUACAUUAAUGCAUUGGGAAACUCCAUUCUUGCUGGCUCCCCUGUGGGCUGGUUUUCAAAAUGAGCUGCCUCUUCAAGAGGAGCUUUGUAGAUCUGGCUAAGGACCCUGCUCUCAGCCGAGAGCUGUUAAGCCUUCUUGAAUCUAUUUUCUCUAAAGUAGCUCUCUGCUGCCCUCCACUGGCAUUCAGGCUCUAGAGCUAGCUAGCUCUGCAUCUGCCAGCGGAUUCACCGCAUCUAGGGCUCCAAGUGAGAUGUGGGAGCCUUAUUAACCACACUAUGUAUAGGUUUUUUAUAGCAUGAAAAAUAGAACUCAGGU
ensembl:lncRNA